rnacentral:rRNA from 1 species
UACGUAGGGUGCGAGCGUUAAUCGGAAUUACUGGGCGUAAAGCGUGCGCAGGCGGUUCGGAAAGAAAGAUGUGAAAUCCCAGGGCUUAACCUUGGAACUGCAUUUUUAACUGCCGGGCUAGAGUAUGUCAGAGGGGGGUAGAAUUCCACGUGUAGCAGUGAAAUGCGUAGAGAUGUGGAGGAAUACCGAUGGCGAAGGCAGCCCCCUGGGAUAAUACUGACGCUCAGGCACGAAAGCGUGGGGAGCAAACAGG